rnacentral:rRNA from 1 species
UACGGAGGGUGCGAGCGUUGUCCGGAAUUACUGGGCGUAAAGCGUGCGCAGGCGGUUUCGUAAGUCUGGCGUGAAAUCCCCGGGCUUAACCUGGGAAUGGCGAUGGAGACUGCGAGGCUAGAGUUUGGCAGAGGGGGGUAGAAUUCCACGUGUAGCAGUGAAAUGCGUAGAGAUGUGGAGGAACACCGAUGGCGAAGGCAGCCCCCUGGGUCAAAACUGACGCUCAUGCACGAAAGCGUGGGGAGCAAACAGG